rnacentral:rRNA from 1 species
CCUACGGGAGGCAGCAGUGAGGAAUAUUGGUCAAUGGGCGCGAGCCUGAACCAGCCAAGUCGCGUGAGGGAAGACGGUCCUAUGGAUUGUAAACUUCUUUUGUCGGGGAGCAAAAGACGCCACGCGUGGCGUUCCGUGAGUACCCGAAGAAAAAGCAUCGGCUAACUCCGUGCCAGCAGCCGCGGUAAUACGGAGGAUGCGAGCGUUAUCCGGAUUUAUUGGGUUUAAAGGGUGCGCAGGCGGAAGAUCAAGUCAGCGGUAAAAUUGAGAGGCUCAACCUCUUAGUGCCGUUGAAACUGGUUGUCUUGAGUGAGCUAGAGGUGUGCGGAAUGCGUGGUGUAGCGGUGAAAUGCAUAGAUAUCACGCAGAACUCCGAUUGCGAAGGCAGCACACCGGCGUUCAACUGACGCUGAUGCACGAAAGUGUGGGUAUCGAACAGGAUUAGAUACCCCUGUAGUC